CCUGCACACACCCAGGUGGCCCCCGGCUCUCCAACUGCCCCACUCCUUCUUGGCACCUAGCUCAAGGCUUUUCCUGGGAGCUUGUGCACAAUAAAGAGACAGGAGAUGCUUUGCCAGGCGUCUCUCCCUCCAAAGCAGGCAACCAGGGCUCUUCUGCGGUUUUCUGCUGUGUGGAGGCUCCUGGUGAUGCUCUGAGCAAGGCCAUAGGGGUCAGAGGUCCAGGCGGUCACUCAGGCUCGGGGCUCUGCAGGACAGGUCUCAGCAGCAGCUGGACACUCUCCAAAGACCCACCACCCCUUCUCCUCCAGCUCUGGCUUUUCUCCCUCUCUUGGCCCCGGGCUGGCGCUGGGUGUUCUGGAGAACAGAGGUGUUUUUCAAGGCUCAGGACAUUGUAUAGGAUGGGAAAAAGCCUUUUCUGCACUUCCCUCCCUGAUGGUUAUCUUGGAAAGCAUUACGAGGUUUUAGACCAAGGGCUGACUUUAUGAACAACAAUGCUUCUAACAGUGAAAUGCCAAGAUCCUUCGUUGGGAUAAAUCACAUUUCCUCCACAAAUGCAGUUCACUAUUAUGUGUCAUACUACCAGGAAAAACAUUUCUUCACCACAGCAGAUAAGCGUUUUUGUGGCAAAGCACAGUGGUUAACACGGCAACUUCUGUGAUUCUGAGGGCUCCAUAGCGUUCCACAUUCUUUUCCUUGCAUCUGCUAGUCAGGGCAGUCCUUUUACAUCUUUUAAAAUCUUACUAAGUCAUUCAAUACCCAUCAGUUGUUCUCUACAUACUACAGCUCCUGCAGAAUUUUGGAAUGUGCUAUGAAAAAUAGGGCUCACUUUUACUGACUCUUUUAAAUUGCAUGGCAUGAGUGCCAGGUGAGCUGUAUUCUCCAUCAGCUAUGUCUUAAUUCUUUUUCAGUUGUCUGGCCCUACAUCCAGUGUCACUAGCUGAAAACAAAAUCAGAGCCAUUCCUUCCAACUGAUGAAGAGCUGUCUCUUCCCCAUGGUUUUCAGUCUCCAUUUUGAAGCCCAGACUUCACAAAGCGGGGAAGGAUCUCCCCUGACUCUACACACCAGGGUUAAUCACCUAAUUUCAAAAGUAAUGUCCUGAAAAAACACAGUUUUUUUACCAACAAAAGCAAUAUCUUCUGUCUAGAAUUUAGAUGUAGCAGCCAGGUGUGGAGUUCAAAGUACACUUGGGCUGGAUAAAAGAUUUCUGCCUCCAUGCCUCUUGG
rnacentral:lncRNA from 1 species